GUUUAAAAAUAGCUCAAAACAGUACGAAAAUGUUCUAUUUCCGCCGAUCUGUCAAAAAAAGGAUUUUAACUGUAGAAGAUACAUACCAUUUGAUACCGUGUGUACAACAAAAACCUAAGAUGAAAGAUUGACAACAAAGUGUCAUGGUCUUGAUGGAAUAUGCUCACAGUGCUCCUCAGACCUCUUAGACAUAUAUUUAAUAAUGGCCACUGAGUCAUCCAAGGUUUCAGACAUCUAGAAUAUGCUCAUGGUCAGUCUUCAAGAUACUCACCCAAGCAUUCCAAUGUGAAUAAGGAUACUGUGACAAAACAGUACUUACCAACAUCCACUGGAGAUACCAGACCAAGCAGACUUUAAGCUACAUAUAUAUGGACACAGACAAUACAAUUCAUUGCGUAUUCCAACACAGCAUAAAAUUUCAAACUGUUUCAUAGGCAGUGAGGCAUUUGUGCUAACCUCAUAAGUUGAAAUGAUUUUUUUUUAAGUUUGACUUUGAAUUGAAAAAGCCAUUAACAUUUGAUUUUCCAAAACAUAUAUUUAUACAGUGUCAUCUGUCCAUUUGUACAUAUUUUCCUCCAAGCAUUUAAACAAUUUUGAAUUAUAAUGGAAAAAUUUAAAUGAAACAUUUAUUGAAUCCUAUGAUAAUAUAUGAAACACACACAACCAUGGUUGUUCAUGUAAUAUUACCAUUGAUUUAAUUUUGAUGAAACGUUCAUACUACUUUUUUAUAGAAAUUUAGUGAAUGUUUUGAUAUUUCUGAAUACAAAUAACUUGUUGUUGUUGUUAUUUUAC